rnacentral:lncRNA from 1 species
GAGCCGGGUCUGAUAGGCCCUCCUUGUUCUGCCAGCGGCCAGAGAGGCUUAUCACACAUCAGAUUGUGUUUCCUUUGAGGUAACCUCAAACCAAAGCUCGCUGUUCCCCGAAGAACAAAGAGAGAGUGAGAACGUUGUGCGGGUGCUUGGGAGCGCUCAGAUGGUCACAAGUCAGGAGGCCUGCUUGGAUUUUGCUGACUUUGCACCAGAAGGGUCUCACCAUGACCGGCAUUGAGGGUGGCGAGUGGCUUUGCCAAGUCAAAGGACUUUGAAGAAGUCACAUAGACCCCGUGGGCUGAUGGAGACUUAGAGACCUCUAGAGCGCAGUCAAGGAAAGUUUCUAUUCCAUAAAAACGUCUUAAGAAUCAUCAAAGGUAACCCUCAGAGCAAGACAAGAGGAAUGUCAAGAUCAGCAAAGCGACUUGGUUGGCCUCAUUGGUGAUCCCACCCACAGUGAAAUCUGAGCCAAGGGUCUCCAUUUUAGAUGACUUCAAAGU